rnacentral:rRNA from 1 species
CCCCAGUAAACGGCGGCCGUAACUAUAACGGUCCUAAGGUAGCGAAAUUCCUUGUCGGGUAAGUUCCGACCCGCACGAAAGGCGUAACGAUUUGGGCACUGUCUCAACGAGAGACUCGGUGAAAUCAUAGUACCGGUGAAGAUGCCGGUUACCCGCGACAGGACGGAAAGACCCCGUGGAGCUUUACUGUAGCCUGAUAUUGAAAUUCGGUACAGUUUGUACAGGAUAGGUAGGAGCCUUAGAAGCGUGAGCGCUAGCUUACGUGGAGGCAUUGGUGGGAUACUACCCUAAUUGUAUUGGAUUUCUAACCCGCAGCACUUAUCGUGCUGGGAGACAGUGUCAGGCGGGCAGUUUGACUGGGGCGGUCGCCUCCUAAAGAGUAACGGAGGCGCUCAAAGGUUCCCUCAGAAUGGUUGGAAAUCAUUCAUAGAGUGUAAAGGCAUAAGGGAGCUUGACUGCGAGACCUACAAGUCGAGCAGGGUCGAAAGACGGACUUAGUGAUCCGGUGGUUCCGCAUGGAAGGGCCAUCGCUCAACGGAUAAAAGCUACCCCGGGGAUAACAGGCUUAUCUCCCCCAAGAGUUCACAUCGACGGGGAGGUUUGGCACCUCGAUGUCGGCUCAUCGCAUCCUGGGGCUGUAGUCGGUCCCAAGGGUUGGGCUGUUCGCCCAUUAAAGCGGUACGCGAGCUGGGUUCAGAACGUCGUGAGACAGUUCGGUCCCUAUCCGUCGUGGGCGUAGGAAAUUUGAGAGGAGCUGUCCUUAGUACGAGAGGACCGGGAUGGACAUACCUCUGGUGUACCAGUUGUCGUGCCAACGGCAUAGCUGGGUAGCUAUGUAUGGACGGGAUAAGUGCUGAAAGCAUCUAAGCAUGAAGCCCCCCUCGAGAUG